AUGUACGUUCGGUCCGGGCUUAGCGGCGCCGCGGAGAAUUUGGAGAGYGUGUUCCGCUUCCCCGGCGGAAGGCCUGAAGGCGCAGCGCUAAGCGGAGCGCAGCUCUCCGCAGUCGUACCGGCGCUGCGCUAUAUCGUGUCCCGCAGCGUUUUGGGCAGGUUCACACGGAGACGAGUUGCCUGCGCUCCGCACCGCCAUCGCUUACGCCGUGCUGCGCCCUGCUUGGGCCCUUCCCCUUCCCGCAGCGCUGAUUCUCCAGGGAUGUUCGGUGCUCCAUCUCUGAAACGUCCGCCGCCCUCCUUCAGCAGGCGGAUCGGCCCAGCCGGCUCUCGGGGCAGGAGCUUUGCGGUUGCUUCAGCGGCCUUGCUGCCCUGCCCUCCCCCUUGGGCGGCUGGUUUAGAGGCGUCGCUGGUGCACGGGCGCAGCAGGGCCGCCAGCUGCCUUCACGCCGCCGCGCUCCCGAGCGCAGCGGAGGCACCGCGGCCGUGCRCUGCUUGCCUGCCGGGCUCCCUCGGGCCAAACGGAGCCCGGAGCAAAGCGCCGUUGAGCGCCCUGACCCUGCCCCGGCGGGGACGGAAAGCGGGAGCUCGCACUGCGUGGGGUAGGUGGGCCGAGGACUCGUUCGGCGCGCUGAAAGCCCGCUACGCCGGAGAGCACUCUCCGCGGCUAUCAACGAACGAACGAACGAACCCCUCAGCUUUGGGGAGAGUUUGGGGAACGAGGGGGAGCAGGAGGAAGAGAGGGAGGUGUCAGCAGCUCCUUCCACCCUGGAAGGAGGAGCUCUGUCCCCGGCAAGCGAGCACGGUGCUGCCCCGCAGCGCAGCCGCCCCCUUCCACGACCUCGCAGCCGUGAGAAAGCGGAGGCAGAGCCGUGCCAGCGAAGGAGGCUCGUGUGCCCGCGCCGCGGCAUCCUCCGCGACAAGGAUGCUUUGCACUGCUGCGUGCAAACCCCAGCCCCAGGACACCAGCCCUACGCUCAGUAGCUAUUUGCAUCAGAUUUAA
rnacentral:lncRNA from 1 species